UGCAGUCGAGCGGUAGAGAGGUGCUUGCACCUCUUGAGAGCGGCGGACGGGUGAGUAAAGCCUAGGAAUCUGCCUGGUAGUGGGGGAUAACGCUCGGAAACGGACGCUAAUACCGCAUACGUCCUACGGGAGAAAGCAGGGGACCUUCGGGCCUUGCGCUAUCAGAUGAGCCUAGGUCGGAUUAGCUAGUUGGUGAGGUAAUGGCUCACCAAGGCGACGAUCCGUAACUGGUCUGAGAGGAUGAUCAGUCACACUGGAACUGAGACACGGUCCAGACUCCUACGGGAGGCAGCAGUGGGGAAUAUUGGACAAUGGGCGAAAGCCUGAUCCAGCCAUGCCGCGUGUGUGAAGAAGGUCUUCGGAUUGUAAAGCACUUUAAGUUGGGAGGAAGGGCAUUAACCUAAUACGUUAGUGUUUUGACGUUACCGACAGAAUAAGCACCGGCUAACUCUGUGCCAGCAGCCGCGGUAAUACAGAGGGUGCAAGCGUUAAUCGGAAUUACUGGGCGUAAAGCGCGCGUAGGUGGUUCGUUAAGUUGGAUGUGAAAUCCCCGGGCUCAACCUGGGAACUGCAUUCAAAACUGUCGAGCUAGAGUAUGGUAGAGGGUGGGUGGAAUUUCCUGUGUAGCGGUGAAAUGCGUAGAUAUAGGAAGGAACACCAGUGGCGAAGGCGACCACCUGGACUGAUACUGACACUGAGGUGCGAAAGCGUGGGGAGCAAACAGGAUUAGAUACC
rnacentral:rRNA from 1 species